rnacentral:rRNA from 1 species
GACGAACGCUGGCGGCGUGCCUAAUACAUGCAAGUAGAACGCUGAGGACUGGUGCUUGCACCGGUUCAAGGAGUUGCGAACGGGUGAGUAACGCGUAGGUAACCUACCUCAUAGCGGGGGAUAACUAUUGGAAACGAUAGCUAAUACCGCAUGACAAUGGAGGACCCAUGUCUUUCAUUUAAAAGGUGCAACUGCAUCACUAUGAGAUGGACCUGCGUUGUAUUAGCUAGUUGGCGGGGUAACGGCCCACCAAGGCGACGAUCAGUAGCCGGACUGAGAGGUUGAACGGCCACAUUGGGACUGAGACACGGCCCAG